GUGAGUCUAUGGAAGAGGGUGAGAACCAUGAGCCACCUAGGUUUUGUUUUGAAGUCAAUGUACCCAGAGAAGGACGGAAGCUCGCUCUCCUCUGGCUACUCCAUGGUGCUACCCUACAGAGUGCUGUUGAGGCAACUGUAGACCUUCAUUGCAAAUAGCGUUUUAAUCAAUUAUUUGGUUUUUAGUUUGAUCUCAAAAGGAUAACCUUUUAAAUGUUUUACUAUUUUUAUUUUUAUGAAAUUCACUGAGGAUGGUCCUCCCCUUCCUCCUCUCAGGAGCCUCCACUGAUAUAGGAGGUUUGGUCUACAUGAAGCAUCAUCUUUACAGAGAAUGAGACAGAGCAACAGAGACAGCAUUCAUCUGAUUUCAUCUCAUCACUAAUGCCCAAAAGGUCACAAGGUACAGGGGAGCUGGAUGGGGUACCUUGCCCGUGUGUCAGACAAGAUGGACUUGCUUCAUUCCUUUCCAUACAUAAAGAAGCUGUCUCAAACUCAACACAUGCCUGCCUGCCUUUGCCGCCUGUGAGCGUCUUUUUACAUGUGCUGGACUACUCUUCACUGCAAAGCGAGCCAGGAAAGACUAGAUUCACUUUGAAAAUCAGCUCCUGCUAAAACAGAACAGAAAGUUCAGAGAGAAGGGAAGGCGUUAGCCCAACAUCAACAUAUAUGAAAAUGGCGAGUUUCUAUGUUUUGUAGUAUAAAAGAUAAAGAUCUACAACUACCGCCACUCAAGAGGGAUCCUUGCUGCAAGAUGGGGGAUCCUGGGAUGAGCCCUCGAUGUUGCCCCAGAGAAAGCUGAGAGACCAUUGUGAAGGCCUGCAUGGCAUACCACCACUACCUUUGCAACAUAGACACU
rnacentral:lncRNA from 1 species